GACAGAGGGAAGCCACCAAACCAAAGCAGGGCUUAGCCUAGACUUUUUGCAAAGUGGGGCUUGAGUGUCUGACCAUAGGCUGGCAUGGCUACCUCCAUCAUUGUUUCUUCUGCAGCUGAAUAGGCUGGCAGGCAGCCUGAAAUGGGGACCUGCUCAGAAGACCCCCACCCCUGCUGGGCAUCCCGGCUCCUCGGACUCAUCAGUCUCUUUCUCAGUGUCUUCAGCAGUGGGACCAAUAGUGAUGGAGGUCCUGGUCCUGGAGUUCAGGAUUCUGGAGUCCACAUUCCUCUGCAGGGGAUCCGAGGAGAUUCUGUGCUGUUUCCUUUGCUCAAGAAGCAUGAAGCUGAGCUGGAGGAGGUCACAUGGGCCUUUGGUCCUGCGUCAGGGUACAGAGUCCUGCUGCGAGUCCGUCCUGGGGAAGCACCAAUAUGGGUGAGCCUCCAGGACAGGUACCAGCAGAGGAUCCAUGUGCCCAACAUGACAUCCCUGAAGAUUGAGAACCUGACCUCCGAGGACAGUGGGCUGUACCGGGCUCGAGGCAUCUUCACUGGAGGAGUAGAAUUUACCCAUGUUUUCCACCUCACUGUCUAUGAGCCUAUACCCAGUCCUGAGAUUCUGGCUGGGCCACGAUCCAUCACACCAGGCUGGUGCAAUGUCACCCUGGAGUGUGGGCCCAGAGGAGCCACAAAGGACCUGAAUGUGACCUGGAAGAGGGAGUACAUCCCUGAGGAGCUGGAGCAGACAGGGACACUGGGACCUGCCUCAAACUCCCACACCCUGGCUGUGAGGCUGCCCCUGAGUCAGCCCUACUCCAGUAUCACCUGCGUGGUCAGCAACCAGAUGGACCAGAAAACUGCUACCGUAGGUCUUGGGGAAGUCUGUGCCCAUGGUUCUCAAGGACUGCCCAUUGCUGGCUCCCUAGGAGCCAUUGUGGUUCUGCUGCUGAUCCUGGGAUCUGGACUGUGUUUUUGGAAGAAAUGUGGAAAGAAGAAGAUAGAGAUGAGAAGAGGUGCAGGAUCACCAGAGGACCAAAAAGAUGAUGACAGCAUCCAGUAUGUGGAGCUGAACCAGCAGGAAUCUCAAGAGGGCUUGUACAUGGUAAGACUUGGAAGCUGUGCUCACUUAGGCCUGGGUUUGUCAAAUUCAGUCCUUGCUGUUUCUGUCCUUACUGCCUCUUUAACUCUUUCUGGACAACCAACAAU
rnacentral:lncRNA from 1 species